CCAACAUCUCUUACCAAAUCAGAUCAUCUUCGAUAAGAAGAAUCACUGUCAACUAUUCCAGCUAUGACUUACAUCUGAAUCUCAAUAGCACAACUCGAGCUAGCAUCAACCUUAUCAAUCUUCCUGGACACUUCUUGACCACUGAAUCCUCAACUCUGUCUCCUCGCCUAGCAUUAGCCUUAUUCACCAUCACAGUCUAGCCACUCAUCUUUAAGCCUUUCUGGAAUGGUUAAAAGAGAAUGGCAAGAGUAAGCAACAAUGCUCAGCAAGUAAUAAUAACAAUGAAAGUUCUGAAGUGAUAUAACAGAAAUUCUCGAGUUCAAGAUAUAAAAAGAUUCAACCUGAGUUCACAAAUUCAGGUAUUGUAUAAAAGAAUCACAAUACCUUGCAGCAAUAGAAACCUGAGGAAUUCAAUCCUUCACAAGAGAAUUAUUGAAUUGGACUAUCACAUUUUAAUUAAAAACCAAGGUUAGGAUGCUGAUCAGUCAUACCUAACCCCGAGCAGGCCCCGCCAUGCUCUAUCACUGGAUCCAAGGCACUCAUUGGCCUAACAUGACCACUCAUCUGGUCUGACCACUCAUCUGGUCCACAUGUUUAUAUAAAAACAAUAAUCCAAUUCUCUAAUUCAAUUCAAGAAGCCAAUGUAAAUUAACAGAACAUCAUCAUAAAUAUCAUCAACAACAGAAUAAUUUCAAUUCAAACUUUGAUAAUAAUCUAUUCAUAAAUCAUGAUCCAUCAUUUCAUAAAUCACAGUUCAGGAAAUCCUCAACUAUUCAGUAUCCUCCAUUAUCGGCUAAGCAACUGAAUUUAGCCUGCUAAACCAGCAUGACAAUGGCGGGUUGAAUAAUCAAGAAGAUCCCAAUUCAUUCAAAGCUCUAACUAUCACUGAGCAACACAUGCUUCAAUGACAAUCUGAACUUCGAAUUAAUUUGUAAAACGGAAAUUCUUUAGAAACUUGAAGAUUAGAAAGAAUGGGUCAGAAUACUCGCACUUUCGAACAUUGAAAAGAAAGGUAUGAAUACUUGAAACAUAUACCAAAGGAAUGGAUCAGAAUAUUUGCAAUAUAUCCAAGAGAAAGGUUUAGGAUACUUGCAACACAUAUAGAAAAGAAUGGAUCAGAAUAUGCAAUAUAUCCAAAAGCAGGGUGUAGGAUACUUGCCUUAAAUCUGACUCCAAUCUCACAUCUCUAUCUCAUCUUUCAACUUUCACAAUCUAUGCAUCUCGUAAUCUCUAGACCAUCUCUAGUUAUACUUUAUUCGCCACAUCGCUUCGCUUACUCGAUUCAUCCCUUAUUCGCUUUGCAAUACCCUUCCGACUUUCUGACGUCUUCAAGCGUACACGUCUCGUCCAAAUC
rnacentral:lncRNA from 1 species